ACUCCUACGGGAGGCAGCAGUGGGGAAUCUUGGACAAUGGGCGCAAGCCUGAUCCAGCCAUGCCGCGUGAGUGAUGAAGGCCCUAGGGUCGUAAAGCUCUUUCGCCUGUGAAGAUAAUGACGGUAGCAGGUAAAGAAACCCCGGCUAACUCCGUGCCAGCAGCCGCGGUAAUACGGAGGGGUUAGCGUUGUUCGGAAUUACUGGGGCGUAAAGCGCGCGUAGGCUGACUAUUAAGUCAGAGGUGAAAUCCCGGGGCUCAACCCCGGAACUGCCUUUGAUACUGGUAGUCUUGAGUUCGAGAGAGGUAAGUGGAAUUCCGAGUGUAGAGGUGAAAUUCGUAGAUAUUCGGAGGAACACCAGUGGCGAAGGCGGCUUACUGGCUCGAUACUGACGCUGAGGUGCGAAAGUGUGGGGAGCAAACAGGAUUAGAUACCCUGGUAGGAUAGCG
rnacentral:rRNA from 1 species